UCAUCCAGAUCUCUGGUGAGCUACCAAGCUCUAGGAACAACUCAUUUCAAUCUUGGGACAUUGACCAGAAUUCAGGGAAACUAGCAUGAUCCUUCCAGUCUGACGUUUCAUUCCAUCUACUGUCCAAAGCUGUGUCUACAAGGCAUCACCUAUGAGACAAUAAAACAAACCCUCUGAAAUCAGGAAAUUUGCCAGAAGAUGGCGAGCUGGGAAGAAAUAAAACCAGGAUUUGAGCCAGAGACAGGGUUUCUCUAUGUUGCCCAGGCUUGUGUUGAACUCCUGGCCUCAAGUGAUCUUCCCACCUCAGCUUCUCAAAGUGCUGGAAUUACAGGCAUAAGCCACCAUGCCUGGCUGCAUGAAAUCUUCUGAGGUAUUAUUUUGAGAACAUAAAUAAAGAAUUCCACAAUCA
ensembl:lncRNA novel transcript